rnacentral:lncRNA from 1 species
CCUCGCUGGGCAACCUAUUCCAGUGUCUCACCACACUCACAGUCAAGAAUUUCUUCCCAAUAUCCAGUUUAAUACUACCCUCUUCCAGUUUAAAGCCAUUUCCUCUUUUCUUGUCACUACAUGCCCUUAUAAAAAGUACUUCCCCAUCUUUCCUGCGGGCCCCCUUCAGGUACUGGAAGGGGGCUAUCAGGUUCCCCCCUGGAGCCUUCUCCAGGAAGAAGAGCCUCAACUCCCCAUAAUGAUUAAGCACAGCAUUGCCUUCUAAAUUAGAAUCAGACAAUAGCCCAGUUGAAGAAGCUCCAUAAAAAAAAAAAUUUACACUAGCAUACACUGCUUUCAGUAGUCCUGAUAGUCACAUCUGAGUUACUCAGUACUUAAGCACUUACUUAUAUAUCAGUCAAACAAUGAGUGGUACAAUACUAUCAUUUUAAAAGAGUUUAUUUUAAAACUAUUAAUUUUGUGAUACUACUGUAGAGUGUGAAUAAUGGGCUUUCCUACCAGGAAAUAUCCAUCCCCACAGCAGUCCCACUUUAGCAUGGUUAGAAAGACAUUAUGUAAAUCAGUAAGACAAAUCGUAAAAUAAAUACAAUCUAGCUGCAGUAACAGAGGAAUAAGCCUAGUGCUUUCCUCUGCCUGUCAGUGGUGUUGUUAAGCAGCUGACUGCACUACCCAUUUACACCUAGAAGUAGGUGCACUUCAACAGCAAAGUGCAAUUUCAAGCACUUCCCUUGGGGAGGACUGGAUCAAAGCAACGGCUGCUGUUCCCUUCUAACAAAUUUAAAUCAGGAAAUGACAACACGUGCUUUAUAGCAAAGGUGAGAUCAAGAGCUGACUGGUACAGUGCCAGCAGUAAAGUGUACUGAAAACAAAGAAAAAAAUGCAACACCUUAAAAAAAGAUUGCUCCAGAAAGUUCAAGUCAUUUCUUUUUUGCAUCAAAUGAAAUUUCUUUCUCAAGGACCAGCCUGGAAUGCAGCUUCAUCACCUGGAUUUCGUUGGGGUUUUUUUUUCCUUUUCUUCUUUUUUAAAGGUAGCAACAGUCAAGAGAUGUAGUAUAUCAUUGUAGAGAGCCCAGGUCCAUGAAAAUUACACGUGAAAAAGAGCAGGUUAUAAAUCCUGAUGUUUUCACAGACUGUCUAGUUCAGCUGACGUAUAAGCUGGUUGAUUCCUUCACCUCUGCAGCCAGGCUUACCCAUCUCCUUGAGGAAACCCACUUUAUUAUGUGCAGCAUGGCGGGCCACUGACAGUUGAAAGGGCCACAAGAAGUCUGUGACAUUUCUGAAAUACUUCCCAGCUGAGUAGAUUUCAUGAAUAAGGUCUUCCAGGCAAAUAAUACCAAAGUUCCCUAAAUGUUCCUCUAUCAACAUAUUGUUUGUCAGAGGUACCCUCUUCUUGUUAACCUUUCCUUGGCCCCGUUUCAGGAUGAGCUCUCGUACAGACUUCAGGUUAGGAUACCCCCAGGCCACAUAAGGUUCUACGAUCCGCAGCAUCUUCAGCGAUAAUGGAGACAAUUUAACGAAUGUUCCAGUGAAAAUUUUUCUCAGCCGCAGCAACUCGAUCACUUUUCUUACCCUCAUACUCACUCCUUUAAUCUCUGUAAUCCGCACAACAAAAGCCAGUUUGUGCUCCUCAGGCACAGCCACCUGCCCAGGUCGCUGCUCCAUGCGCCUCAGCCGGACAUCAUCUCGGCGCUUGCGCCAUGAAUCACGAACAAAAGUCUCAAGGCGUUUAAACUGGAUUUGUUUCCCCUUCUGGAGCUUGCGCUUGUUGAGCAGCGCCUGCUUGGCCUGAGCGGCCUUGAUGGCCUGGUAGGCCUUCCUCCUCUUCAGCAAGUUCUCCGGCACCAACGGGAUCCGCCGCUUCUGCUCCGGCUCCGCCAUCUUGCCGCCGCUGCCGCCGGAGGCGCUACCGCGCACGCGCUGCGCGAGGCGAGGAGGGCGAGAGGACGGGUGGCGGGCAGCGCAUGCGCCGCUCUGGCCGGCUCGUCCCGCCUCUCGCCCUCCCUAGGAAGGAACCGGAAGAGCGAGGGCAUAUUUGGGCAGGGAAGGGCGGGGCCUCUGGGCUGUCUGCGCCAUGGAGAGAUUUGGGCGGGAUGGUUGUUUUUAGCAAACCAAACGAUCGCACUCAACUCAAAACGGCAACUCCGAGCAGUGACCGUCAUGAAUCAAAAACUGCCUCAGCUCGACGGUCACAAGGACUGCCUGGGAAUAUAUAUAUGUAUAUACAUACAUAGAUAUGUACGUACACCACUGAGGUUGCAGAGGCGGGACAAGAGGCAAAAACAUGAGCUUUUCUUCUGAGAGAUGGCUCUGCCUCUUACACCUUCACCUUCACGGUGCUUCUGAUGAUUCUUCAUGUGAAUGUUGUACGAGAGGUUACAACAGCAACUUGUACCAGAACUGUUGGCACCUCCCCAUUCUCCACUGCUACUUGAAUGGGUCCGUUGUAUGUGUUUCUGCAUAACAUCAAUGUAACUUCACCCAAAAUAGUAUUUCUCAAGACAGUAGGCCUAGCUUGAUCUUGAAGAGGCCCAUCUUGAAGAGAACCUCUCCCUGGCUGCCCAUAGUGAGUCUGAAUUCCAGGUUAGCCUCUACCUGUGCAUGCUGCUCAGCUUCAUCUCCAGUCCGGGAAAGGUUUGGGAGCCCUGCAUCUUCAACAAUAAAUAUAAAAGAAAUCCUUUAAACAUCAGUGGAGCUAAUGUCUCUAAAGAGACUUCUCUAGGAUGUAACCAUUUGUAGAUCUGAAACUUCCACCUCAUUUUCUGUUUGCAGCCACUGGGUUUCAGCGUGCACUUCCUUUGUCUGCUAACCACGCAGCCCUCCAUAGCAUAGAUAGUCCUGCCACUAGCUGGCAAGGAGUACCUCUGCUUUUCUUGCUUUUCUGUCUGUCUCAGGGAAGCUAUGCCCUCACAUAUAAACCCUUGGAGUACCAUUUCCAGCUAAACCGAGAAAGGAAAAUAGUUUUUCCCUUCUAUCAUUUAAUUUCCAGCAUCAGAGAGAAUGCCUGUCCCAGCUGGAGCCAGCAAGCAAGGACUGAUCCUGCCAGGCUUGGACUCUGUGGGUACAAACACCCUCUGUGCCCUGCAUACAUCGAAUGAGAGCGACAUUAUCGAAUCGAAUUCGACACAUCGAAUUAUCGACGUAAUGUCACCUUACCUAGAACCAGGAACACAACUGUGUUCCUGGUUCUAGGUAAGGUGACAUUACGUCGAUAAUGGAGCCAAAGGUUUGAAGAGGAAACAGCCUAAACCCAGGGAAAACUUAUCCAGAGAAAACAGAAGUUGCCGAUGCAGUAUAUCCUGUUGUUAGAGCGUCUGUAGCCCUUCUAUUGUAGCACAAUGAUUCCUGGGUAACGUUCCUAACAUAUGCUAUAAAAAGAAGUGAAGAUGAGUAAGGAG